CGGCAGGCUUAACACAUGCAAGUCGAGCGGGGAAGUGUAGCUUGCUACAUUACCUAGCGGCGGACGGGUGAGUAAUGCUUAGGAAUCUGCCUAUUAGUGGGGGACAACAUUCCGAAAGGAAUGCUAAUACCGCAUACGUCCUACGGGAGAAAGCAGGGGAUCUUCGGACCUUGCGCUAAUAGAUGAGCCUAAGUCGGAUUAGCUAGUUGGUGGGGUAAAGGCCUACCAAGGCGACGAUCUGUAGCGGGUCUGAGAGGAUGAUCCGCCACACUGGGACUGAGACACGGCCCAGACUCCUACGGGAGGCAGCAGUGGGGAAUAUUGGACAAUGGGCGGAAGCCUGAUCCAGCCAUGCCGCGUGUGUGAAGAAGGCCUUUUGGUUGUAAAGCACUUUAAGCGAGGAGGAGGCUACUCUAGUUAAUACCUAGAGAUAGUGGACGUUACUCGCAGAAUAAGCACCCGGCUAACUUCUGGUGCCAGCAGCC
rnacentral:rRNA from 1 species